AGAGUUUGAUCCUGGCUCAGAGUGAACGCUGGCGGCAGGCCUAACACAUGCAAGUCGAGCGGCAGCGCGUCCGACCACCCUCGGGUGGUCGGAUGGCGGCGAGCGGCGGACGGGUGAGGAACGCAUCGGAAUCUGCCUCGUUGUGGGGGAUAACGUAGGGAAACUUACGCUAAUACCGCAUACGACCUACGGGUGAAAGUGGGGGACCUUCGGGCCUCACGCGAUGAGAUGAGCCGAUGCCGGAUUAGCUAGUUGGCGGGGUAAAGGCCCACCAAGGCGACGAUCCGUAGCUGGUCUGAGAGGAUGAUCAGCCACACUGGAACUGAGACACGGUCCAGACUCCUACGGGAGGCAGCAGUGGGGAAUAUUGGACAAUGGGGGCAACCCUGAUCCAGCCAUGCCGCGUGUGUGAAGAAGGCCUUCGGGUUGUAAAGCACUUUUGUUGGGGAAGAAACCGGCCGGGUUAAUACCCUGGUUGAAUGACGGUACCCAAAGAAUAAGCACCGGCUAACUUCGUGCCAGCAGCCGCGGUAAUACGAAGGGUGCAAGCGUUACUCGGAAUUACUGGGCGUAAAGCGUGCGUAGGCGGUUUGUUAAGUCUGCUGUGAAAGCCCUGGGC
rnacentral:rRNA from 1 species